ACAGAGUUUGAUCCUGGCUCAGGACGAACGCUGGCGGCGUGCUUAACACAUGCAAGUCGAACGAUGAAGCCCGGCUUGCUGGGUGGAUUAGUGGCGAACGGGUGAGUAACACGUGAGUAACCUGCCCUUGACUCUGGGAUAAGCGUUGGAAACGACGUCUAAUACCGGAUACGAGCUUCCACCGCCAUGGUGAGUUGCUGGAAAGAAUUUUGGUCGAGGAUGGACUCGCGGCCUAUCAGCUUGUUGGUGAGGUAGUGGCUCACCGGGGCGACGACGGGUAGCCGGCCUGGGGGCCUGACCGGCCACACUGGGACUGAGACACGGCCCAGACUCCUACGGGAGGCAGCAGUGGGGAAUAUUGCACAAUGGGCGAAAGCCUGAGGCAGCAACGCCGCGUGAGGGACGACCGCCUUCGGGUUGUAAACCUCUUUUAGCAGGGAAGAAGCGAAAGUGACGGUACCUGCAGAAAAAGCACCGGCUAACUACGUGCCAGCAGCCGCGGUAAUACGUAGGGUGCAAGCGUUGUCCGGAAUUAUUGGGCGUAAAGAGCUCGUAGGCGGUUUGUCGCGUCUGCUGUGAAAUCCCGAGGCUCAACCUCGGGUCUGCAGUGGGUACGGGCAGACUAGAGUGCGGUAGGGGAGAUUGGAAUUCCUGGUGUAGCGGUGGAAUGCGCAGAUAUCAGGAGGAACACCGAUGGCGAAGGCAGAUCUCUGGGCCGCUACUGACGCUGAGGAGCGAAAGGGUGGGGAGCAAACAGGCUUAGAUACCCUGGUAGUCCACCCCGUAAACGUUGGGCGCUAGAUGUGGGGACCAUUCCACGGUUUCCGUGUCGUAGCUAACGCAUUAAGCGCCCCGCCUGGGGAGUACGGCCGCAAGGCUAAAACUCAAAGGAAUUGACGGGGGCCCGCACAAGCGGCGGAGCAUGCGGAUUAAUUCGAUGCAACGCGAAGAACCUUACCAAGGCUUGACAUAUACGAGAACGGGCCAGAAAUGGUCAACUCUUUGGACACUCGUAAACAGGUGGUGCAUGGUUGUCGUCAGCUCGUGUCGUGAGAUGUUGGGUUAAGUCCCGCAACGAGCGCAACCCUCGUUCUAUGUUGCCAGCACGUAAUGGUGGGAAUUCAUGGGAUACUGCCGGGGUCAACUCGGAGGAAGGUGGGGACGACGUCAAAUCAUCAUGCCCCUUAUGUCUUGGGCUUCACGCAUGCUACAAUGGCCAGUACAAAGGGCUGCAAUACCGUAAGGUGGAGCGAAUCCCAAAAAGCUGGUCCCAGUUCGGAUUGAGGUCUGCAACUCGACCUCAUGAAGUCGGAGUCGCUAGUAAUCGCAGAUCAGCAACGCUGCGGUGAAUACGUUCCCGGGCCUUGUACACACCGCCCGUCAAGUCAUGAAAGUCGGUAACACCCGAAGCCAGUGGCCUAACCGCAAGGAUGGAGCUGU
rnacentral:rRNA from 1 species